UAAAGUUUUAGUGUAUGUUUGUUCGGCACAUAACAAGUUUACAAAUAUGAAUACAUUUAUUUUAGAAGUAGGAAGCACACGGUUCUCGUUGCUCUUAUAUUGGCAAUUCAACACAAAUAAAGAACUGUUUAUGAAGUGAAUAAUACUAUCUCUACUCGUCUGGAGUGGAAUAAUAUUGUCGAUACAUCGGGUGUUGUACUAUAGCUGGACGUUUUGGAAGCAUGGAAGAAUUGAUUGUUGGAGGGGUGAUAGGAGGGAUAAUAUGUAUACUCAUAGUAUUAUUCAUGAUUAUUUGUUUCUGUUUGCAAUCUGAGGAACGCCGUAACAGAAUCAGACAUAUAAAUAUACAACCAGCAAACGAUAUCUUUAUCAGAAUACACCAAACAAGGUAUCCCCCACGAGGACCACCACCGGCGUACCCGGGAAGAUAACACAAAUUAAAGGCAAUAACAAUAGUAUGUUCCACGAGGAAAACCACCGGCUUACACGGGGAGAUAACAUAAUUUAAAGGCAAUAAUGAAAGUAUUGUCCACGAGAACCACCACCGGCGUACUCGGGGAAUAACAUAAAUUGAGGGCAAUAACAGUGGUUUACUCCAGGACCACCACCAGCGUACCCAGGAUGAUAACAUAAAUAAAAGACAAUAACAAUGGUAUACUUCACGAGGACAACAACCGCCGUAAAAGAAGAGAUAACAUAA